rnacentral:rRNA from 1 species
UACGUAGGGUGCAAGCGUUAUCCGGAAUUAUUGGGCGUAAAGAGCUCGUAGGCGGUUUGUCGCGUCUGCUGUGAAAACUGGAGGCUCAACCUCCAGCCUGCAGUGGGUACGGGCAGACUAGAGUGCGGUAGGGGAGAUUGGAAUUCCUGGUGUAGCGGUGAAAUGCGCAGAUAUCAGGAGGAACACCGGUGGCGAAGGCGGGUCUCUGGGCCGUAACUGACGCUGAGGAGCGAAAGCGUGGGGAGCGAACAGG